rnacentral:lncRNA from 1 species
AUUUGCUAUUUCUACUUCUUUGUCUGAGAAAUGUCUGUUCAUUUCAGAUGCCCAUUUUUGGAUUGGGUCUUUAAAUUUGGGAGGUCUGAUCUUUUUAAGUUCUUUAUAGAUUCGAGAUAGUAGACCUUUGUCUGAGGAAGAGCAGGUGAAGAUUUUUUCCCACAUUGUGGGUUGUCUCUUCACACUGCUGGUGGUUUCUCUUGCUGUGCAGAAGCUUUUUAAUAAGAAGAGAUCCCACCUGUUGAUUGUUUGUGCUAGUUCAUGGGCAACUGAGGUUUUGUUCAUAAAAUCGUUUCCUACACUGAUGUCUUCAAGAGUUCUACCUAACCUCUGUUCCAACUGGUUCAGAGUUUCUAAUUUAAUAUUUAGAUCUUUAAUCCAUUUCAAUUUUAGUUUAGUGCAUAGCAAGAGAUAUGGGUCUAGUUUUAAUCUUUGGCAAGUUGAAGCCCAAUUUUUCCAGCACCAUUUAUUAAAGAGGCUAUCUUUCCUCCAGUGAGGGUGUUUGGCUCCUUUAUCGAAGAUGAGAUGGCUGAGUGUGUCUGGCAUUGUUUCUGCAUCUUCUAAUCUGUUCCACUGGUCCUCAGGUCUAUUUCUUUGCCAGUACCUGCUGUUUUUUUUUUUUUUUAUCACAGUAGCUUUGUAGUAUAGUUUCAGGUUGGGGAUUGUGAUACCCGCUGCCAUGUCUCUGUUACUUAGUAUUGCUUUUGCUAUUCUGGGUCUCUUCUUGUUCCAAAUGAAUUUUUGGAUUGUUUUCUCAAGGUCCAUGAAGUAUGCUGCUGGGAAUUCAAUUGAGAUUGCAUUGAAUCUAUAUAGCAGUUUUGGAAGUAUGGCCAUUUUCACUAUAUUAAUCCUUCCUACCAAGGAGCAGGGGAUGUCUGUCCAUUUUCUGAUAUCAUCUUCAAUCUCUCUUUUCAGAGUGCUAUAGUUUUCAGAGAAGAGGGCUUUGAUUUCUUUCGUUAGGUUGAUUCCUAGAUGUUUCAGUUUUUUGGAUGCUAUUAUGAAAGGAAUUAUUUGCCCUAUUUCUCUCUCAGUGAGUUUUUCAUUUGAGUAGAGGAAAGCUAUUGAUUUUUGUGUGUUGACCUUGUAAGAAUCUACUUGACUGAAUUUGAUUAUUAAGUCUAGAAGACUUUUGGUGGAGUUCUUGGAGUCCUCUAUAUAGAGUAUCAUGUCAUCUGCAAAUAAUGACAAUUUGACUUCUUCAUUUCCUAUCUUUAUUCCUUUUAUUUCUUUUUCUUGUCUAAUUGCCAUGGCUAAUGUUUCCAGAACUAUAUUGAACAAGAGUGGUUAUAGUGGACAUCCUUGUCUUGUGCCUGAUUUUAGUGUGAAGGAUUUCAGUUUUUGACUAUUUAGUAUGAUAUUGGCUGUUGAUUUUUCAUAGAUGGCUUUUAUCAGAUUGAGGUAGAGACCAUCUAUUCCAAUUUUUUGUAGGGUUUUUAUCAUAAAUGCAUGUUGGAUUUUGUCAAAUGCUUUUUCUGCAUCUAUGGAGAUAAUCAUAUGAUUUUUGUCCUUGGCUCUAUUGAUAUAGUGUAUUACAUUGAUUGAUUUUCGUAUAUUGAACCAUCCCUGCAUCCCUGGGGUGAAUCCCACUUGAUCAGGGUUUACGAUCUUCUUGAUGUUCUUCUGCAUUCUGUUUGCCAGUAUCUUAUUAAAGAUUUUUGCUUCUAUGUUCAUUAGUGAGAUUGGCUUAUAGUUCUCCUUUUCGGUUGGGUCUUUCUGUGCUUUGGGGAUCAAGGUGAUACUUGCUUCCAGGAAUGAAUUUGGGAGUAUUGCUUCCCUUUCAAUUUCAUUAAAGAGUUUAAACAGUAGUGACAGCAGUUCCUCUCUAAAUGUCUUGUAGAAUUCAGCAGUGAAGCCAUCAGGGCCCGGGCUUUUCUUAGUUGAUAAGUUUUUAAUUACAUUUUCAAUUUCAUUGGUUGAUAUUGGGUUGUUCAGAAGUUUUAGGUCUUCUUUGUUUAACUUUGGUAAUUCAUAUGUAUCUAGGAAUCUGUCCAUUUCCUCUGUGUUGUCCAUCUUUUUGGCAUACAGGUUCUGGAAGUAAGUAUUGAUGAUCCUCUGGAUUUCUGCUGGGUCUGUUGUCAUUUCACCCUUUUCAUUCCUAAUUGCAUGGAUUUGGGCCUUUUCUUUCCUUUUUCUGACAAGGUUGGCUAAAGAUUUGUCAAUUUUGUUGAUUCUUUCGAAGAACCAACUCUUGGCUUCGUUGAUUUUUUGUAUCAUUCUCUUAGUCUCCAUUGCGUUGAUGUCUCCUCUGAUCUUUAUAAUUUCCUCCCUUGUAUGAGCUUUGGGGUUGUCCUGCUCUUCUUUUUCUAGAAGCUUGAGGUUCAGCCUCAGGUUGUUUAAUUGGGCUUGUUCUGUUUUCCUAAUAUGCAUAUUCACUGCUAUGAAUUUCCCUCGUAAGACUGCUUUCAUUGUGUCCCAUAGAUUCCGAUAUGUUGUAUUGUCAUUGUCAUUUCAUUGAAGGAACUGUCUGAUUUCUUAAUUUCCUCUGUGACCCAUUGGUUAUUCAGAAGUGUGUUGUUCAAUUUCCACGUGUUUAUGAAAUUUUUUGAGUUUCUUUUGCUGUUGAUCUCCAAUUUCAUGGCACUAUGGUCUGGUAAUAUACAGGGGAUAACUUCAAUUCCUUUGCACUUACUUAAACAUGUUGUAUGUGUGAGUACGUGGUCUGUUUUAGAGAAUGACCCAUGUGCAGCUGAGAAGAAUGUGUAUUCUGAUUUUGUGGGGUGGAAGACUCUGUAAACAUCUGUUAAGUUCAUUCAUUCAAGAGUUUGAUUGAGUUCUAGUAUUUCAUUACUUAUUUUUAGUCUAGUUGAUCUAUCUAUUUGUGACAGUGGGGUGUUGAGUUCCCCCACUACAAUUGUAUUAGUGCAUAUAUGACUUUUCAUGUCCGUUAGUAUUUGUUUUAUAUAGUUGGGUGCAAUAGUGUUUGGUGCAUAGAUAUUUAUGAUUGUCAUCUCUUCCUCUUGGAUUCUUCCCUUUACAAGGAUGUAGUGUCCUUCUUCAUCUCUCUUAAUCAGUGUUGGUUUGAAAUCUACUUGAUCUGCCAAGAGGAUAGCUACUCCCGCUUUUUUGCGGGUUGCUGUCGCAUGGAGUAUUGUUUUCCACCCUUUAACUUUCAGUCUAUGAGUUUCCUUUUGAAUGAAGUGAUCCUCAAUGUCUGUUCCUAGGAUAUUGUGUAAAAUUCUUUGGAGUGCUGGUUUGGUAUUCACGAAAUUCCUAAGGUGCUCUUUGUCAUGAAAGUAUCUUAUUUCUCCAUCCAGUUUGAAAGAUAGUUUUGCAGGGUACAUCAAUCUGGUUUGGAGGCUGUUUUCUUUUAGGGCUUGGAAUAUGUCACUCCAAGAUCUUCUUGCCUUGAUGGUUUGUGUUGAGAAGUUUGCUGUGAUUCUGAUGGGCUUUCCUUUGUAUGUGAUUUGUUUCUUUUCUCUAACUGCUUGUAGAACUUUGUUCUUCUGUUGUGUUUCUGGAAUCUUAACAAUUAUAUGCCUAUGUGUAGAUUUUUUUUGAUCAAGGCUAUUUGGAGUCCUAUAUGCCUCACUUUUUUGUAUGUCAAGCUCUUUUCCCUUGCUUGGGAAGUUUUCUGCCAUUAUUUCUGUGAAGAGAUUUUUUUAUGUCAUCUGCACCCUCUCCUGUUUCUUCAUUGAGCCCAAUCAGUCUUAUGUUAUUCUUUUUUGCAUCAUCUUGGAGCUGCUGGAUUGAUUUCUCAUGUUCCCUUAUAAUUUUGAAGCAAUUUUUCUUUUCCUGGUCACUAAUUGCAAUCUUAUCUUCUAUAUCUGAAAUUCUGUCCUCACAUUGGCUCAUUCUGCUGUGUAGACUUUCAAUGGAGUUUUUCAUGUCCUGGAAAUCUAUUUGCAUCUGUUUUAUGGAUUCCAUUUGUUUCUUAUGUUGGGAUUCCAUCAUGUUCCUGAGCUCCUCUCUAGAUUUAUUAAUCAUGUCUUGCACUAGGGGCACAAUUUCUCCUGUUAUCUGAGAAAUUAUUUCUGAUUUCAUUUUUUCCAGAUCUUCUUUUGUUGCCAGUUCAUUGGGUCCAGGUGAUUGGGUAUCAGAGUGUUCCAUCUUAUUUCCCUUUGGGGUUGCUGUAGGUGAUCUGGACAUCUGGUUUUGAGACUUAUUUACAUGUUUUCUCAUUUUCACUGGGGCGAGGGGCUGUUAGCACCUGCAGGGAUUACCUCCUCUGAGCUGAGAGAGGUGGGACAGGGGCUGGGAGCAGCGGUAGGGAUGAUGACCCAAAAGCCCUUUCCUGUGGGCUGGGAGCAGCCGGAGCAAUGGUGGCUGGGAACCCCCUUCCUCUGGACUAGGAGCUGUGGGAUGGUGGCUCAGAAGUCCCUCCAUCUGGGCCGGGAGCGGUGGGAGGGAUGGUGGCCUGGAAGCCCCUUCUUCUGGGCCAGGAGCAGCAGGACACAAGGUGGCCCAAAAGCCCUUUCCUCUGGGCUGGGAGCAUUGGGAGUGAUGGUGACCAGGAAUCCCCUUCCUCUGGACCAGGAGCAGUGGGACGAUGGCUCAGAAGCCCCUACCUCUGGGCCGGGCACAGUAGGACUCAGUUCCUUGCCCUGGUGGUCUGGUGUCCUCUGGGUCUUUGUAGUGUGGAAUCAGGUGGCUGCCUGUCUGCAGCGGGGUGAUUCGGUGUCUUCCCCGUGACUCAGGACCUUGGUAGGGCAGGCACAGACCUGCCUGUCUGCAGCGGGCCACUUUUCAUUUUCUUAACAAUGCCAUUUAAAGUUCUAAAUUUUGAUGGAAUCUCAUUUAUCAAUUUUUUUCUUUUAUAC